CCCGCACAAGCGGUGGAGCAUGUGGUUUAAUUCGAUGCAACGCGAAGAACCUUUACCUGGGCUUGACAUCCCGAGAAUCCCCUGGAAACAGGGGAGUGCCUUUCGGGGAACUCGGAGACAGGUGCUGCAUGGCUGUCGUCAGCUCGUGUCGUGAGAUGUUGGGUUAAGUCCCGCAACGAGCGCAACCCUUGUCUUUAAUUGCCAGCAUUCAGUUGGGCACUUUAAAGAGACUGCCGGUGUUAAGCCGGAGGAAGGUGGGGAUGACGUCAAGUCCUCAUGGCCUUUAUGCCCAGGGCUACACACGUGCUACAAUGGGUGGUACAAAGAGAUGCCAACUCGCGAGAGCGCGCCAAUCUCAGAAAGCCAUCCUCAGUUCGGAUUGGAGUCUGCAACUCGACUCCAUGAAGUUGGAAUCGCUAGUAAUCGCGGAUCAGCACGCCGCGGUGAAUACGUUCCCGGGCCUU
rnacentral:rRNA from 1 species